rnacentral:rRNA from 1 species
GGGAAUCUUCGGCAAUGGACGAAAGUCUGACCGAGCAACGCCGCGUGAGUGAAGAAGGUUUUCGGAUCGUAAAACUCUGUUGUUAGAGAAGAACAAGGAUGAGAGUAGAACGUUCAUCCCUUGACGGUAUCUAAUCAGAAAGCCACGGCUAACUACGUGCCAGCAGCCGCGGUAAUACGUAGGUGGCAAGCGUUGUCCGGAUUUAUUGGGCGUAAAGCGAGCGCAGGCGGUUUCUUAAGUCUGAUGUGAAAGCCCCCGGCUCAACCGGGGAGGGUCAUUGGAAACUGGGAGACUUGAGUGCAGAAGAGGAGAGUGGAAUUCCAUGUGUAGCGGUGAAAUGCGUAGAUAUAUGGAGGAACACCAGUGGCGAAGGCGGCUCUCUGGUCUGUAACUGACGCUGAGGCUCGAAAGCGUGGGGAGCGAACA